rnacentral:rRNA from 1 species
CCUACGGGGGGCAGCAGUGGGGAAUAUUGGACAAUGGGGGCAACCCUGAUCCAGCCAUGCCGCGUGUGUGAAGAAGGCCCUCGGGUUGUAAAGCACUUUCAGUGAGGAAGAACGCCUGGUGGUUAAUACCCAUCAGGAAAGACAUCACUCACAGAAGAAGCACCGGCUAACUCCGUGCCAGCAGCCGCGGUAAUACGGAGGGUGCGAGCGUUAAUCGGAAUUACUGGGCGUAAAGCGCGCGUAGGUGGCUUGAUAAGCCGGUUGUGAAAGCCCCGGGCUCAACCUGGGAACGGCAUCCGGAACUGUCAAGCUAGAGUGCAGGAGAGGAAGGUAGAAUUCCCGGUGUAGCGGUGAAAUGCGUAGAGAUCGGGAGGAAUACCAGUGGCGAAGGAGGCCUUCUGGACUGACACUGACACUGAGGUGCGAAAGCGUGGGUAGCAAACAGGAUUAGAUACCCGAGUAGUC